GGGCCCAUAGGCUAAUGGAUAAACCACAACGCUUCGGACGUUGCAAUGAGGGUUCGAGUCCCUCUGGGCCCG
rnacentral:tRNA from 1 species